GCGAGCGUUACCCGAAUUUACUGGGCGUAAAGGGCGUGUAGCCGGUCUUUCAAGUCCGAUGCUAAAGACUGGGGCUCAACCCCAGGGGUGCGUUGGAUACUGUGAGGCUAGACGGUCGGAGGGGGUAGCGGAAUUUCCGGAGUAGCGGUGAAAUGCGCAGAUACCGGAAGGAACGCCAAUAGCGAAGGCAGCUACCUGGACGACUUGUGACGCUGAGGCGCGAAAGCGUGGGGAGCAAACCGGAUUAGAUACCCGGGUAGUCCACGCCCUAAACCAUGAGUGCUGGGUGUCCGGCUUCUGCUGGGUGCCGUAGCUAACGCGCUAAGCACUCCGCCUGGGAAGUACGCACGCAAGUGUGAAACUCAAAGGAAUUGACGGGGGCCCGCACAAGCGGUGGAGCAUGUGGUUUAAUUCGAAGCGACGCGAAGAACCUUACCAGGCCUUGACAUGCCCGGAACCCCUCUGAAAGGAGGGGGUGCCCGCAAGGGAGCCGGGACACAGGUGCUGCAUGGCCGUCGUCAGCUCGUGUCGUGAGAUGUUGGGUUAAGUCCCGCAACGAGCGCAACCCCUAUCCCUAGUUGCCAGCAGUUCGGCUGGGCACUCUAUGGAGACUGCCUGCGAAAGCAGGAGGAAGGCGGGGAUGACGUCUGGUCCGCAUGGCCCUUACGGCCUGGGCGACACACGUGCUACAAUGCCAAGGACAGAGCGCUGCUACCUCGCGAGAGGACGCCAAUCGCAAAAACCUUGGCUCAGUUCGGAUUGGAGUCUGCAACUCGACUCCAUG
rnacentral:rRNA from 1 species